CAGUAGCCGCGGGAAUACAGAGGGUGCAAGCGUUAAUCGGAAUUACUUGGCGUAAAGCGCGCGUAGGUGGUUUGUUAAGUUGGAUGUGAAAUCCCCGGGCUCAACCUGGGAACUGCAUCCAAAACUGGCAAGCUAGAGUAUGGUAGAGGGUGGUGGAAUUUCCUGUGUAGCGGUGAAAUGCGUAGAUAUAGGAAGGAACACCAGUGGCGAAGGCGACCACCUGGACUGAUACUGACACUGAGGUGCGAAAGCGUGGGGAGCAAACAGGAUUAGAUACCCCCGUAGUCCCUGUCUCUUAUAC
rnacentral:rRNA from 1 species